AUUGAACGCUGGCGGCAGGCCUAACACAUGCAAGUCGAACGAGUGGCGGACUGGUGAUUAAUGUCUGGGUAACUGCCCGAUGGAGGGUGAUACCUACUUGAAACGGUAGCUAAUACCGCAUACCAUCGUAUUUUCCCAGAUGGGAUUAGCUAGUAGGUGGGGUAACGGCUCACCUAGGCGACGAUCCCUAGCUGGUCUGAGAGGCUGACGAGCCACACUGGUACUGAGACAGUGUCGAGACUUCUACGGGAGGCAGCAGUGGGGAAUAUUGCACAGUGGGCGAAAGCCUGAUUCAGGCAUGACGCGGGGAUGAAGAAGGCCUGAGGGUUGUAAAGUACUUUCAGCGAGGUGGAGGUAGUCGCAGAAGAAGCACCGGCUAACUCCGUUGCAGCAGCCGCGGUAAUUC
rnacentral:rRNA from 1 species